rnacentral:rRNA from 1 species
UACGUAGGGUGCAAGCGUUAAUCGGAAUUACUGGGCGUAAAGCGGGCGCAGGCGGUUAUGUAAGACAGAUGUGAAAUGCCCGGGCUUAACCUGGGAACUGCAUUUGUGACUGCAUGGCUAGAGUUUGGCAGAGGGGGGUAGAAUUCCACGCGUAGCAGUGAAAUGCGUAGAUAUGUGGAGGAACACCGAUGGCGAAGGCAGCCCCCUGGGUCAAGACUGACGCUCAUGCACGAAAGCGUGGGGAGCAAACAGG